AGUGAACGCUGGCGGUAGGCCUAACACAUGCAAGUCGAACGGCAGCACAGUAAGAGCUUGCUCUUACGGGAGGCGAGUGGCGGACGGGUGAGGAAUACAUCGGAAUCUACUUUUUCGUGGGGGAUAACGUAGGGAAACUUACGCUAAUACCGCAUACGACCUACGGGUGAAAGCAGGGGAUCUUCGGACCUUGCGCGAUUGAAUGAGCCGAUGUCGGAUUAGCUAGUUGGCGGGGGAAAGGCCCACCCAGGCGACGCUCCGUAGCUUGUCUGAGAGGGAGACGAGACACACGGGGACAGAGACACGGUCCAGACGCAUACGGGAGGCAGCAGUGGGGAGUAUUGCACAAUGGGCGCAAGUCUGAUGCUGCCCUGCCGUGUGAAUGAAGAAGGCCUUCUGGUUGUAAAGGACUUUCAGCGGGGAGGAAGGGAGUAAAGGUAACAACUUUGCUCAUUGACGUUACCCGCAGAAGAAGCACGGGCUCGCUCCGUG
rnacentral:rRNA from 1 species